GGGGUUGUAGCUGGCCUUAACGGCAUGUGCACACCCCGUUCACAUCCAUCUCUAACCCCUGUGAACGUUCUGUAGAUCGGUUUUUGGGCCUUCUCUUUCGGGAGUCGGUCCUGACCCCUCUAUGUUUCAUUUAACUCCAGUCAGUUCAGAAUGUAACGCGUCUAACGCACAUAAUACAACUUUCAGCAACGGAUCUCUUGGCUCUCGCAUCGAUGAAGAACGCAGCGAAAUGCGAUAAGUAAUGUGAAUUGAGAAUUCAGUGAAUCAUCGAAUCUUUGAACGCACCUUGCGCUCCUUGGUAUUCCGAGGAGCAUGCCUGUUUGAGUGUCAUGGAAAUAUCAACUCUUUUCACCUUGUGUGAUUUGAGCUUGGACUUGGAGGCUUGUGCUGGCUCUCUUUUGAACCGGCUCCUCUUGAAAGCAUUAGCUUGAACCUGGUCGGAUCGGCUUUCGGUGUGAUAAUUGUCUACGCCGUGGUCGUGAAGGCAUCUUGUGGGAUCAGCUUACAGUCGUCUUCGGACAUAUAUCAUUUUAUGACCUCUGACCUCAAAUCAGGUAGGAUUACCCGCUGAACUUAAGCAUAUCAAUAAGCGGAGGAAAAGAAACUAACAAGGAUUCCCCUAGUAACUGCGAGUGAAGCGGGAAAAGCUCAAAUUUAAAAUCUGGCGGUC
rnacentral:rRNA from 1 species